CGCACUCCCGGGGCGUCUCGUUCUCAUCGCGAGAAGAGGCGCACCCAGAGCGUACACGCUGGGACCCGAAAGAUGGUGAACUAUGCCUGGUCAGGACGAAGUCAGGGGAAACCCUGAUGGAGGUCCGUAGCGAUUCUGACGUGCAAAUCGAUCGUCGGAACUGGGUAUAGGGGCGAAAGACUAAUCGAACCAUCUAGUAGCUGGUUCCCUCCGAAGUUUCCCUCAGGAUAGCUGGCGCUCGCUUUGCGAGUCUCAUCCGGUAAAGCGAAUGAUUAGAGGCAUUGGGGUCGAAACGGCCUCAACCUAUUCUCAAACUUUAAAUGGGUGAGAUCUCCGGCUUGCUCGAACUUGAAGCCGCGAGAUAUUUACACAAGGAUCAGAGUGCCAAGUGGGCCAUUUUUGGUAAGCAGAACUGGCGCUGUGGGAUGAACCAAACGCAGAG
rnacentral:rRNA from 1 species